ensembl:processed_transcript
AUGAAUAUCAUCCUCUGUUAUGAUUAUCAGUCAAACAAGAGUGAUGCGUGUCUCCUAGAAACCGGUCAGACUCGACGUUCAGACAUGGAGUCAAACAGACAGGAAAAUCUUGUGUCAAAGUGUGUUAUAAUUCACUGUGACACCGAUGUGACCCACCUUCAUCUCGCUAAAAGAGGAUUGACUUCUGUUCCGGAUUUAUCACGUUUCUGCAUGCUGAGAUGUGUGUGGCUCAAUGAUAACAAGAUCCUAGAAGUUACCAGAGCCCCAUUUAACUGCUGUUUGACAGAACUUUACCUGCAGAACAAUGACAUUCUCUCCAUUUCAGGAGCACUGAGACACCUGACAUGUCUGCGUGUGCUGCUCCUGUUCAAUAAUCAGAUUAAGUGUCUAGAAGAAACUGUGGUGGAGCUGAAGAACAUGCAGGAGCUCCACACUCUCUCUUUAUAUCUGAACCCUUUCACUGAAGAUCCUGAAUAUCGCCUAUAUGUGCUCCAUCAUUUGCAAUCUGUACAGUUUUUGGACACAAAAGAAGUACAGCAAGUGGAGAGAAGACGAGCUUUAAAGCUGUUCAAUGCAGAAAGACAGAAGGUUCUGGAUACUAUUGCCUUUGGCAGACGAGCACUACCGCCCCCUAUAGGAAGAAAACAGACCAACGCUCUCACAAAACCUGUAGGUCAACAUGUCUCAAGGAAGAGUACAGACCGUCGAUCUGAUCUACAAAACUGCUCAAAGGCCAAGUCCAUCACACAGUUCUCCAUUAUGAACUGGACCAGUACAAACACAUCUCAGUGGGACCAUCUAGAUGUUUCAAGCAGGCCUGAAUCUGACAUGCUAACUGUCAAACUGAGAUGA